UUUACUUACUCCGUGAAUCGGAG
rnacentral:snRNA from 1 species